rnacentral:lncRNA from 1 species
CCAAUUUUCUAAAAACAUUUAUUUAAAAUUUAAAACCAUAUUACUUCAUACAGCAAACUGUGCACUUUGAUAUAUCACAGUGUCUUAAAAAGGAAAAUAAUCAGAUUUGUUUGGAAAUUUAUUUACAUCAGCUUAGAAUGAUUGGCAAGUAACACAGUUACUAUGAAACCCAAAUUGUUACAAAAUGUUUACAAAAAACUAUAUUCAUAGAAAUUCUGCAUGUCCACAAAGGGCACCCCCUGAAUGGCCCAGAGACCAGUGUGUGGGAACCUUGUUGAGUGGGAGGUGGGGGAGGGGGCGUCCAGGCACUCUGGUCUGGGUAGUGGGACAGGCCAGGGCUCUUGGAGUCCCAUGGUGCUGUCUUGGGGCUCAGCCCAAGAGCUGGGAGCUGAGGUCCCCACCACGGAGGCCCAGCCAGGAAGUCAGCCCAGGCGGGAUAAACUAGGGUUUCAGAGCACAGUGGCGUGAGGGCUCUUGGAGCCUCUGGUCUCUGUGGAGCCAGGACAGGACCCUCAUCAGCGGCAGCUGGAGAUUUAGAUGCGCUUGGCCGUGGCUUGCAGGAGCAGGCCUGGCUUUUAAGUGCAGAUGGCCUGAGGGCUGGGGUUGAAGCAAAGGGCAGACUGCAGACCACACAAAAGCAAAGCCCAGGUCUCCUCUCCCAGCACACUCUAGAGAUGCUUGGACCCAGGAAGGGGCUGAAGGCCUCUGGCAACAGACAGAUCCAGGUGUGGCAGGGACAGAGGUCUGUGACCUACCUGACAGGGGCUCUCUACCAGCUGUCCUGUUGGGAGACGAGCAAUGAGGACUGGCAGACAGUAAGGGCUGUGCAAGGCCAGGCUCUGCCAUCUUGAAUCUCUCCGGUUCCUUGAUAGCUCCCUCCCACCUUGUACCUGUCUCAGAAUGAACUGGGGCAGACUCUUGGCUAGCAUCUGAAUCUAUGGCUCUUCCUAUCCUGGGAGCCUCUAUUCUAGAAGGCGAGAGUAGAAGAACUAGAUUCAUAACUCGGUUAUCAUGAUGCUGGAUGAGCUUGUUGGAAGUGCCCUCAGGCCUUUCUCUUCAAAAGAGACACUCUAGCCAUGAUGUGUGGGCACCUUGCAUAGGUGAGGCCUCUGCCACCCAGGAUCCUCUGACAUCUGGGCGAUUUCAGAUGCAACUUGACACCUUCUAGGUCACUCUCAGGAGGGAUAAGGACAGGCCUGGGGAAUAUGCCUCCCUUUCCCUCCAUCUUCUCUCUAGCACUAGAUACUGGGAUUAGAUUGUGAUGUUGGCUCAGGGAUCAAGGACUAGCAAGGCCAUGUUUCCCAGAUAUGCCCACUGUCCUGCCUUAGACAAACUCCUAGGUGGAGACUCCUCACCCAUGGCGGUCCCUUCCCUGGUUCACCUGUCAGCUCCAUGCUAUUUUGCCUUCUUUGACAUGGUCCAUAGUGUUGAUGCUGGCAAGGCCCAGCUUAUUCUAGAGGGCUGUGUAAACCUGACCUUUCUGCUGCAGCCCCCGUCUCUCACUGGGUCCCCACCCAUACUGGCUGGGUUCUGUACACUUUGUGUGCAGACGUGCAGGUAAGGGUUGUAUACACAGGGGUUGUGGGUCAUAUAUACACUGUGCAUAUAUAUAAGCAUAUAUAUAUCUUACAUUCAUAUAUAUAUAUAUAUAUAUAGUACAGAACAUUAGCCUUCUAUCUAAAACAAUUCUGUGACUUCAUGUAUACCUCAGCUCUAAAAUUUCAACUCCAGAACAUGGAGACAAGAGGGCAAGGCCCCUUCCACAAUGGCAAGUGAUUAGGCCUAUUCCAGAUGUGCACCCUGCCCCAACAACCUGGGACAUCCAGAUGUAUCUUACUCAGAGUUACACAGGACUGGACCCGAUUUUCAAAUCUGUCCACUGGACUGGGUGGAUCCCGGAUGUUAACUCCAUAUAGCUGUUUGUCCAUGACAUGAAGGCCCUUCCAGGUGGGCAUCCACGCAGGGCAAUUCCAGAGGUGGACCAUGGAGCUUGUCGCGUUCAGGUGCUGGUGCCUACAGUAGAGAAUGGCUUUGGUGUGUGUGUGUGUGUGUGUGUGUUAUUGCCUGCUAUGGUGUCCAUUAAAACCAGCUCCUGAAACUCUCACACAGAAAGCAAACACACAGAUUGUGCGGCUCCUCUCUCCAGCCAGCAUGGCUUUUCCUAUCAUUGUGUGCCCUGGGCUUGACUGCAAGUCUCUCUUUCCCCCCUCCCCCAGUGCAGCCAGUCAGCCAGAGCUCCUGAGAACCAGCGUGGUGGGAAAGAUCACGUGUGCCCACAUGGGGGUCCCGUGAUUGACUGAAGGGGUUCCUUCAUCUCUGCUGAGAAGACUUUAGAUUUAGAUGUAACUCAUCCAAGCCUGGACCCCCUGGCAGCACCAGAAAAGUGAGGGAGUGUGGGUGACUGGUGUCCUCAGUUCUCAGUUCUCAACCCAUAUUGCCCACCCUGGUCCCUGAUCAGAGAUCAGCAUCCACCCUUAGCUGUGGGGGCCCCAAUGGCCCUGUCAUGCUCUCUGUAAGGACACUUUUUGCCUAACCCCUCACAUCUGAAUCUUUCUAUGACCAUUACAGUUUCUAACUCCCAGAGAUGGAACCAAUGGGUCAUCUGCUCACCCCUUUGGCUGUCCCCUCCCUUGGCUUCUCCUCUGGGUCUCCCUUAAAUCUCCUAAGACCAUAGCUGCUCCAGAAAAGAGACCAGGACCAGGAUGGCCUUGUGUCUCUGUGUUGGGUCUUUGGUUAAUCUUCCAGGAGGCAGCUACUCCUUCACUAUCCUGGGGGCCUCUGGACGUCUCAUAUCCUGCCCCUGAAGGCUUUCUUUAGGGGGAUCAUUAGGUUGGGCAUAACCAAAAAGUUCUUUGGGUCCCAUCUGCCUUCUCCCACCUACCCCAAAGUUAGUCUGUGCAGUGGGGGGUGGGUGUGGGGACAGCAAUUCCUCUUUUGAGGAGCUGUGGCUUGGCUCACAUUUCAGCUGAGGCCGGUCUUCUCUUUUCAAGAUGACAAAGGGAGGCCAAACUCAAAUGGCCGGGACAGGAAAUCACCAAUGAGUAGAUGGUAGAGAACCCAGGGUCCCUAUUGCUGGCAAAGAAGUUGUCCUAUUGGUUCAAGGGCCUGUGGGGUUUUCAUGGAGCCCACAUUUCUUCUGCAGACUUUCCAAUGUCAACUGAGUCUUCGGACAUUCCU